GGGCUGUGCUCAGUGGUAGAGCGCCUGCCUCGCAUGUAUGAGGCACUGGGUUCAAUCCUCAGCAUCACCU
rnacentral:tRNA from 1 species